GACGUAGGGCGCGAGCGUUGUCCGGAUUUAUUGGGCGUAAAGAGCUCGUAGGCGGCUUGUCGCGUCGACUGUGAAAUCCCCGGGCUCAACCUGGGAAUUGCAUUCGAUACUGGAUAGCUAGAGUUCGGCAGAAGGGAAGCGGAAUUUCCGGUGUAGCGGUGAAAUGCGUAGAUAUCGGAAGGAACAUCAGUGGCGAAAGCGGACUUCCUGGACCAGAACUGACGAUCAGGCACGAAAGCGUGGGGAGCCAAACAGGA
rnacentral:rRNA from 1 species